rfam:Bacteroidetes bacterium GWA2_40_15 gwa2_scaffold_1103, whole genome shotgun sequence.
GCGGGAGUAGCUCAGUGGUAGAGCAUCAGCUUCCCAAGCUGAGGGUCGCGGGUUCGACCCCCGUUUCCCGCU